UUAUUUUAUUAUUAUUAUAGGGUUAAGGGUGUAUUAGGAAUGAAAUAAAAAAGAUUAUUUUUUCAAUUGAUGAAAAAAUGACUUACCUACCUCCUAGGUGGGUAAGACUUCUCCCCCCAUUUCAUGGAUAAAUGGUAUCCAUAGGAAAAUAAUUUAUCUACCUAGAGAAGCGUGAGAAUAUGAUAAGCUGGUCAAUGGAAAAGUUGACCAAUUUUUCUAUGAUAUUUACCUACCAGAGAACGAACCCUAAGUAUAAAGAAUGUUUUUCAAACAUCUGCUACUGGGUAAUAAAAGGAACAAGUUAAUUUUAUAACUUCAAAGCCAGCGAAAGGAGUUGAGCUAUAGGCAAUAGGAGCGAUGAAUGUUAAAAGAAAAAUGUGCAAGAAAAAGUGAAUAUGCUUGAAUCAAUUGAUCAAGGCUAGAAUCCGGGCCUUUAAGUUGCUGUCUUAGUUAACACAUAGUAACCUUCUGUAUCCUAAGAAUUCUAGAUCUCGAACUCUAAGAAAAGAGCUGUUUAUUAAUGGGAUGUUCGGUGGCAGGGAAGUGGAUACUGAGUUUUAAGUUUUAAGGAGUGAUGCAUUUGCUCAUAUCUUACGGUUGGCAUCUAUGUCAUUCAGGGUGAAAUAACUCACAUAAUUAAAUACUUGGAUUUGUUUUGGCUGCAAGCAAUCAUCAGAAUCUUUGGAGCCUAGAAGUGAGUUAUGUGCAAGAGGGUUUCCAAAAUGUGAUUCUCAUUCCAGAUAUUUGGCAUGAUAAACUUGAGCUCUGAAAAUGUUAGAAAAACGUAAUUAGACAAGGACAGAUCAUCAUGCAUGUCCAACUUUGGUCAAGUAUUUAUGUUGGUGGUUGACCAUCGUUGACGUUUGCUAAUAAGUAAAUAAAUUAAAAUUAUGACUUGCCAUUUUUGUAAAGCGUCUUUAAGCAUAGAUUUGUUGUACUAAAUUGUAACACUCGCAAUGGUCACAUGCUACUAAACAGACCCAACUGGCAACAAAGCCAGGAAAGAUUUUUCCAGGUCAAGUAAUUUUUGAACGUUGUACUUGUGGGAUAUGUAUCAAGUUCUAUCAAGUUCAUGGAAUGGAGUGAGGGUUGCAUCAACCAUCCAAAUAUGAUCACUGAUUGACAAGGAUGCCAUUGUAUGAGUCCAUGCACUUCUGUGUGCUUCAGAUCUAUAAUAUUAAAGGAACUGUAGACAGCAUCUUCUGUUGUGCAGCUGUACUCCUGGUAUGAAGGUAAACAUGGCUUGUUGAUUCGGUUGCAAUAAGUCAAGGAUGUCAACCAUAUCUAUAAUGGCAGGUUAUCUUAUUCUUUACUUGCUGAUGAUGAGCAUACAUUGUAUCUUGUUGAUGGAAAUGCAAUGUUUUAUUGAACUAUUAGUUUUUUUUUUUGGCAUCUCUCUGAUGGAGUCAUUCUACAUUUUUUUCAGAAAAAUUUAAUAUUGAUUACAAUUCUAAGUCUAUUGUUAAUAUAUCAAAUCCUGAAAACUUAGGUAUUGGGAUUGUAUGUAUCAUGGAUGCACCUUAGCAAUACGUUGCUAUAUUGUUUCACUUAUCUAAUGAGAUCAUUUAUUGUUUACAUGGAAUAGUUUUUUCUGUAGCUACAUUACUGGAAACGUUGCCUUCAGAUUGCGUAAUGCUGCCUUUAGGGAGGAGAGAAAUUGGCAGUGGAGAAUUUUUAUUAUGAAACCGUAGAAUACUUGGAUGGGAGAAUAGGUUUCUCUCUCUUGGUGGAGGGAUUUUCCUUACCGUUUUUGCUUUCUAAAAUUGAACGUGUCGGUUGAGACCUCAUAAAUGGCACUACUUUCAGCAUUCAUUUUCUCACCAAACACUUCAUGCAUGGUUUGCACGGUUGAGUGCAGAGCUAAGAUUUCUUGAAUUCU